rnacentral:rRNA from 1 species
UACGUAGGGGGCAAGCGUUGUCCGGAAUUAUUGGGCGUAAAGCGCGCGCAGGCGGUCUUUUAAGUCUGAUGUGAAAGCCCACGGCUCAACCGUGGAGGGUCAUUGGAAACUGGGGGACUUGAGUGCAGGAGAGAAGAGUGGAAUUCCACGUGUAGCGGUGAAAUGCGUAGAGAUGUGGAGGAACACCAGUGGCGAAGGCGACUCUUUGGCCUGUAACUGACGCUGAGGCGCGAAAGCGUGGGGAGCAAACAGG